rnacentral:lncRNA from 1 species
GAAUGAAUGGAAGCGAGCUGGUAUUCAGUUCACCUCUGCUUCCUAUGACCAGCUGCCUCUGCUCUUGCCUUAUCUUCUUCACCAUCAGAGACUAUACCCUCGAUCUGAACCAAAACAGACCGUCCCGUUAGUAUGGAACCUCAAGGUCUUUAUGACAAUGGAAACAAAAAAAUUGAUUGGCAAACCGCUUCAACCAGCAAGACCUGUUCGUCAUCUCUCUUCUCCUCCAGGACCAGUGUUCCCUUUCAACUUUCAGAAUGAAUAUCCAUGCAACACUCAAUGCUUACAAAGUGGUGUUGGCAGAUGUAAGACGAAUGGAAUGCAAGCCUUUUCUCAAGGUCUUAAUGAGCAACAGCAACACCAGUCUCCAGUUAAAAAAGAGAGAAUUAAAUACAGCAGAGAUUUCUUGUUGAAGCUUUCAAGUGUUUCCAUCUGCAGAAAAAAACCGGACUUUCUGCCUGAUCAUCCCAUUGUACUUCAAAAACCAGAAAACAACCAAAGUUUUAAGUAGCAUUUUAAGAACAGAUGAAUUUGAAGAUAAAGAAUUAUUCAUUUUAUAUUUUGGACACCUGCAAAUGAAGUGGAUCUAGUAACAAUAACUAAUGGACUGUGACGAUUCAAUUUAUUUUUACUUUUGAUGGUUGGCUAUUUGGCUUCUCAUAAAAGGAGAAAGAGAUAUUUUAAAGUAUAAAGAAUUUUUCUAAUCAGUUUCAACUUUGCAGGCAGUUCCUGCAAAAAUUGGGAAGUAACACUCGAAAGUG